CAAGCGUUGUCCGGAAUUAUUGGGCGUAAAGAGCUCGUAGGCGGUUUGUCACGUCGGAUGUGAAAACCCGGGGCUUAACCCCGGGCCUGCAUUCGAUACUGGCUGACUAGAGUUCGGCAGGGGAGACUGGAAUUCCUGGUGUAGCGGUGAAAUGCGCAGAUAUCAGGAGGAACACCGGUGGCGAAGGCGGGUCUCUGGGCCGAUACUGACGCUGAGGAGCGAAAGCCAGGGGAGCAAACGGG
rnacentral:rRNA from 1 species